CCCUUAGAUGUCCUGGGCCGCACGCGCGCUACGCUGAGUGUCUGAGAUACGAGUCUGCCUGGUCCGGCAAGGUCUAGGUAAUCGCUAAAAGACACAUCAUGCUUGGGAUAGAUUAUUGCAAAUAUUAAUCUUGAACGAGGAAUUCCUAGUAAGCGCAAGUCAACAGCUUGCGUUGAUUACGUCCCUGCCCUUUGUACACACCGCCCGUCGCUACUACUGAUUGGAUGUUUAAGCGAGGUUCUCGAACUGCUAGCGACUUAGCUUCGGUGAGGUCGCAGUGUGGGAAGUGAACCGAGCUUUGGUGUCUAGAGGAAGUAAAAGUCGUAACA
rnacentral:rRNA from 1 species